GACGAACGCUGGCGGCGUGCUUAACACAUGCAAGUCGAACGGAAAGGCCCCCUUGUGGGGUACUCGAGUGGCGAACGGGUGAGUAACACGUGAGUAACCUACCCUUGACUUUGGGAUAACUUCAGGAAACUGGGGCUAAUACCGGAUAGGAGCUCCUGCUGCAUGGUGGGGGUUGGAAAGUUUCGGCGGUUGGGGAUGGACUCGCGGCUUAUCAGCUUGUUGGAGGGGUAGUGGCUCACCAAGGCUUUGACGGGUAGCCGGCCUGAGAGGGUGACCGGCCACAUUGGGACUGAGAUACGGCCCAGACUCCUACGGGAGGCAGCAGUGGGGAAUAUUGCACAAUGGGCGGAAGCCUGAUGCAGCAACGCCGCGUGCGGGAUGACGGCCUUCGGGUUGUAAACCGCUUUCGCCUGUGACGAAGCGUGAGUGACGGUAAUGGGUAAAGAAGCACCGGCUAACUACGUG
rnacentral:rRNA from 1 species